UACGUAGGGUGCGAGCGUUAAUCGGAAUUACUGGGCGUAAAGCGUGCGCAGGCGGUUUUGUAAGCCAGGUGUGAAAUCCCCGGGCUCAACCUGGGAAUGGCAUUUGGGACUGCAAGGCUGGAGUGUGGCAGAGGAGACUGGAAUUCCUGGUGUAGCAGUGAAAUGCGUAGAUAUCAGGAGGAAUACCGAUGGCGAAGGCAGGUCUCU
rnacentral:rRNA from 1 species